GCGCCCUUAGCUCAGCUGGAUAGAGCGUUGCCCUCCGGAGGCAAAGGUCAAAGGUUCGAAUCCUUUAGGGCGCG
rfam:Halomonas huangheensis strain BJGMM-B45 contig53_scaffold12, whole genome shotgun sequence.